AAAUUUGAAAUCUGGCGCAAGCCCGAGUUGUAAUUUGUAGAGGAUGCUUCUGGCCAGCGGCCGUUCUAAGUUCCUUGGAACAGGACGUCAUAGAGGGUGAGAAUCCCGUAUGUGACCGGCGCGCAGCCUUUACGUAGCUCCUUCGACGAGUCGAGUUGUUUGGGAAUGCAGCUCUAAAUGGGAGGUAAAUUUCUUCUAAAGCUAAAUACCGGCCAGAGACCGAUAGCGCACAAGUAGAGUGAUCGAAAGAUGAAAAGCACUUUGGAAAGAGAGUUAAAAAGCACGUGAAAUUGUUGAAAGGGAAGCGCUUGCAACCAGACUUCGCGGCGAUGUUCCGCCGGUCUUCUGACCGGUCUACUCAUCGUCGCGAGGCCAACAUCGUCUGGGACCGCUGGAUAAGACCUAAGGAAUGUGGCUUCCCUCGGGAAGUGUUAUAGCCUGUGGUGAUGCAGCGCGUCUCGGGCGAGGUCCGCGCUUCGGCAAGGAUGUUGGCGUAAUGGUUGUCAGCGGCCCGUCUUGAAACACGGACCAAGGAGUCUAACAUCUAUGCGAGUGUUCGGGUGUCAAACCCCUACGCGUAAUGAAAGUGAACGGAGGUGGGAAGCGCAAGCUGCACCAUCGACCGAUCCUGAUGUCCUCGGAUGGAUUUGAGUAAGAGCAUAGCUGUUGGGACCCGAAAGAUGGUGAACUAUGCCUGAAUAGGGUGAAGCCAGAGGAAACUCUGG
rnacentral:rRNA from 1 species